GACGUAGGGUGCAAGCGUUGUCCGGAUUUACUGGGCGUAAAGAGCGCGUAGGCGGCUCGUUAAGUGAGAAGUGAAAGCUGUGGGCUCAACCCACAAACCGCUUUUCAUACUGGCGAGCUGGAGUGAUGCAGAGGUGGAUAGAAUUCCUGGUGUAGCGGUGAAAUGCGCAGAUAUCAGGAGGAACACCAAUUGCGAAGGCAGCUCGCUGGGACGUUACUGACGCUGAGACGCGAAAGCGUGGGGAGCAAACAGG
rnacentral:rRNA from 1 species